rnacentral:rRNA from 1 species
CCUACGGGGGGCAGCAGUGGGGAAUAUUGGACAAUGGGGGCAACCCUGAUCCAGCCAUGCUGCGUGUGUGAAGAAGGCCCUCGGGUUGUAAAGCACUUUCAGUGAGGAAGAACGCCUGGUGGUUAAUACCCAUCAGGAAAGACAUCACUCACAGAAGAAGCACCGGCUAACUCCGUGCCAGCAGCCGCGGUAAUACGGAGGGUGCGAGCGUUAAUCGGAAUUACUGGGCGUAAAGCGCGCGUAGGUGGCUUGAUAAGCCGGUUGUGAAAGCCCCGGGCUCAACCUGGGAACGGCAUCCGGAACUGUCAAGCUAGAGUGCAGGAGAGGAAGGUAGAAUUCCCGGUGUAGCGGUGAAAUGCGUAGAGAUCGGGAGGAAUACCAGUGGCGAAGGCGGCCUUCUGGACUGACACUGACACUGAGGUGCGAAAGCGUGGGUAGCAAACAGGAUUAGAUACCCGUGUAGUC